rnacentral:rRNA from 1 species
GGACGAGAAGCUUGCUUCUCUGAUGUUAGCGGCGGACGGGUGAGUAACACGUGGAUAACCUACCUAUAAGACUGGGAUAACUUCGGGAAACCGGAGCUAAUACCGGAUAAUAUUUUGAACCGCAUGGUUCAAAAGUGAAAGACGGUCUUGCUGUCACUUAUAGAUGGAUCCGCGCUGCAUUAGCUAGUUGGUAAGGUAACGGCUUACCAAGGCAACGAUGCAUAGCCGACCUGAGAGGGUGAUCGGCCACACUGGAACUGAGACACGGUCCAGACUCCUACGGGAGGCAGCAGUAGGGAAUCUUCCGCAAUGGGCGAAAGCCUGACGGAGCAACGCCGCGUGAGUGAUGAAGGUCUUCGGAUCGUAAAACUCUGUUAUUAGGGAAGAACAUAUGUGUAAGUAACUGUGCACAUCUUGACGGUACCUAAUCAGAAAGCCACGGCUAACUACGUGCCAGCAGCCGCGGUAAUACGUAGGUGGCAAGCGUUAUCCGGAAUUAUUGGGCGUAAAGCGCGCGUAGGCGGUUUUUUAAGUCUGAUGUGAAAGCCCACGGCUCAACCCGUGGAGGGUCAUUGGAAACUGGAAAACUUGAGUGCAGAAGAGGAAAGUGGAAUUCCAUGUGUAGCGGUGAAAUGCGCAGAGAUAUGGAGGAACACCAGUGGCGAAGGCGACUUUCUGGUCUGUAACUGACGCUGAUGUGCGAAAGCGUGGGGAUCAAACAGGAUUAGAUACCCUGGUAGUCCACGCCGUAAACGAUGAGUGCUAAGUGUUAGGGGGUUUCCGCCCCUUAGUGCUGCAGCUAACGCAUUAAGCACUCCGCCUGGGGAGUACGACCGCAAGGUUGAAACUCAAAGGAAUUGACGGGGACCCGCACAAGCGGUGGAGCAUGUGGUUUAAUUCGAAGCAACGCGAAGAACCUUACCAAAUCUUGACAUCCUUUGACAACUCUAGAGAUAGAGCUUUCCCCUUCGGGGGACAAAGUGACAGGUGGUGCAUGGUUGUCGUCAGCUCGUGUCGUGAGAUGUUGGGUUAAGUCCCGCAACGAGCGCAACCCUUAAGCUUAGUUGCCAUCAUUAAGUUGGGCACUCUAAGUUGACUGCCGGUGACAAACCGGAGGAAGGUGGGGAUGACGUCAAAUCAUCAUGCCCCUUAUGAUUUGGGCUACACACGUGCUACAAUGGACAAUACAAAGGGCAGCGAAACCGCGAGGUCAAGCAAAUCCCAUAAAGUUGUUCUCAGUUCGGAUUGUAGUCUGCAACUCGACUACAUGAAGCUGGAAUCGCUAGUAAUCGUAGAUCAGCAUGCUACGGUGAAUACGUUCCCGGGUCUUGUACACACCGCCCGUCACACCACGAGAGUUUGUAACACCCGAAGCCGGUGGAGUAACCUUUUAGGAGCUAG